UACAGAGGGUGCUAGCGUUGUUCGGAAUCAUUGGGCGUAAAGGGCGUGUAGGCGGUUUGUUAAGUCAUGUGUGAAAGCCCCCGGCUCAACCGGGGAACGACGCAUGAAACUGGCAAGCUAGAGUACCGAAGAGGGGGGUGGAAUUCCCGGUGUAGCGGUGAAAUGCGUAGAUAUCGGAAGGAACACCAGUGGCGAAAGCGGCUUCCUGGUCCAGCACCGACGUUCAGGCACGAAAGCGUGGGGAGCAAACAGG
rnacentral:rRNA from 1 species